GAUGAACGCUGGCGGCGUGCCUAAUACAUGCAAGUCGAGCGAACAGACGAGGAGCUUGCUCCUCUGACGUUAGCGGCGGACGGGUGAGUAACACGUGGAUAACCUACCUAUAAGACUGGGAUAACUUCGGGAAACCGGAGCUAAUACCGGAUAAUAUAUUGAACCGCAUGGUUCAAUAGUGAAAGACGGUUUUGCUGUCACUUAUAGAUGGAUCCGCGCCGCAUUAGCUGUUGGUAAGGUAACGGCUUACCAAGGCGACGAUGCGUAGCCGACCUGAGAGGGUGAUCGGCCACACUGGAACUGAGAUACGGUCCAGACUCCUACGGGAGGCAGCAGUAGGGAAUCUUCCGCAAUGGGCGAAAGCCUGACGGAGCAACGCCGCGUGAGUGAUGAAGGUCUUCGGAUCGUAAAACUCUGUUAUUAGGGAAGAACAAAUGUGUAAGUAACUAUGCACGUCUUGACGGUACCUAAUCAGAAAGCCACGGCUAACUACGUG
rnacentral:rRNA from 1 species